rnacentral:rRNA from 1 species
CCCUCGAAAGAGGGGAUUAAUACUCCGUAACAUAAUGAAGUGGCAUCACUUUAUUAUUAUAGCUCCGGCGGUUAAAGAUGGGCGUGCAACUGAUUAGAUAGUUGGCGGGGUAACGGCCCACCAAGUCUGCGAUCAGUAACUGGUGUGAGAGCACGACCAGUCACACGGGCACUGAGACACGGGCCCGACUCCUACGGGAGGCAGCAGUAAGGAAUAUUGGUCAAUGGACGCAAGUCUGAACCAGCCAUGCCGCGUGGAGGAUUAAGGCCCUCUGGGUUGUAAACUCCUUUUAUCUGGGAAGAAAUGCUUUGAUUCUUCAGAGCUUGACGGUACCAGAGGAAUAAGCACCGGCUAACUCCGUGCCAGCAGCCGCGGUAAUACGGAGGGUGCAAGCGUUAUCCGGAUUCACUGGGUUUAAAGGGUGCGUAGGCGGACAGAUAAGUCAGUGGUGAAAUCUCCGAGCUUAACUCGGAAACUGCCGUUGAUACUAUUUGUCUUGAAUAUUGUGGAGGUAAGCGGAAUAUGUCAUGUAGCGGUGAAAUGCUUAGAUAUGACAUAGAACACCAAUUGCGAAGGCAGCUUACUACACAAUGAUUGACGCUGAGGCACGAAAGCGUGGGGAUCAAACAGGAUUAGAUACCCUGGUAGUCCACGCCCUAAACGAUGAUUACUCGACAUACGCGAUACACUGUGUGUGUCUGAGCGAAAGCAUUAAGUAAUCCACCUGGGAAGUACGACCGCAAGGUUGAAACUCAAAGGAAUUGACGG